CCAAUCGAAGAAGUGUUCGAUCAUCAGCACAGGGCAUCCGUGAAACUGAGAAGGAAGAAGACAGGUAGAACACCAACAGAACACCAGCGGGAGAAGGCCAGGAAGAACACCAGCGGGAGAAAGCCAGGAAGAACACCAGCGGAAGAAAGUCAGGAAGAACACCAGCGGGAGAAAGCCAAGAAGCAAGCCCGCACAAGAACACCAAGAACCACCACCGCGCACUCGCACCCCACA
rnacentral:lncRNA from 1 species